CAGCCGCCACGGGAAUACGAAGGGUGCAAGCGUUACUCGGAAUUACUGGGCGUAAAGCGUGCGUAGGUGGUGGUUUAAGUCCGUUGUGAAAGCCCUGGGCUCAACCUGGGAAUUGCAGUGGAUACUGGGUCACUAGAGUGUGGUAGAGGAUAGUGGAAUUUCCGGUGUAGCAGUGAAAUGCGUAGAUAUGCGGAGGAACACCGAUGGCGAAGGCAGCCCCCUGGGCCAACACUGACGCUCAUGCGCGAAAGCGUGGGGAGCAAGCAGGAUUAGAUACCCCUGUAGUCCCUGUCUCUUAUAC
rnacentral:rRNA from 1 species